rnacentral:rRNA from 1 species
AUUGAACGCUGGCGGCAGGCUUAACACAUGCAAGUCGAGCGGGGUGAUGGUGCUUGCACUAUCACUUAGCGGCGGACGGGUGAGUAAUGCUUAGGAAUCUGCCUAUUAGUGGGGGACAACAUCUCGAAAGGGAUGCUAAUACCGCAUACGUCCUACGGGAGAAAGCAGGGGAUCACUUGUGACCUUGCGCUAAUAGAUGAGCCUAAGUCAGAUUAGCUAGUUGGUGGGGUAAAGGCCUACCAAGGCGGCGAUCUGUAGCGGGUCUGAGAGGAUGAUCCGCCACACUGGGACUGAGACACGGCCCAGACUCCGACGGGAGGCAGCAGUGGGGAAUAUUGGACAAUGGGGGGAACCCUGAUCCAGCCAUGCCGCGUGUGUGAAGAAGGCCUUGUGGUUGUAAAGCACUUUAAGCGAGGAGGAGGCUCUUUUGGUUAAUACCCAAGAUGAGUGGACGUUACUCGCAGAAUAAGCACCGGCUAACUCUGUGCCAGCCGCCGCGGUAA